CUUCAAUUUCACAGCGACCAC
rnacentral:miRNA from 1 species